AACGAACGCUGGCGGUAUGCUUUACACAUGCAAGUCGAACGGGUAAGAGCCGUAGCAAUACGAAAUUCUGCUAGUGGCAAACGGGUGAGUAACGCGUGGGAACCUACCUUAUAGUACGGAAUAGCCCCGGGAAACUGGGAUUAAUACCGUAUACGCUCUUCGGAGGAAAGAUUUAUCGCUAUAAGAUGGGCCCGCGUUAGAUUAGCUAGUUGGUGAGGUAAUGGCUCACCAAGGCGACGAUCUAUAGCUGGUUCGAGAGGAUGAUCAGCCACACUGGAACUGAGACACGGUCCAGACUUCUACGGGAGGCAGCAGUGGGGAAUAUUGGACAAUGGGCGAAAGCCUGAUCCAGCAAUACCGCGUGAGUGAUGAAGGCCUUAGGGUUGUAAAACUCUUUCAGUAGGGAAGAUAAUGACGGUACCUACAGAAGAAGCACCGGCUAUCUCCGUGCCAGCAGCCGCGGUAA
rnacentral:rRNA from 1 species